ACCCCGUGAACCUUUACUAUAGCUUGACACUGAACAUUGAGCCUUGAUGUGUAGGAUAGGUGGGAGGCUUUGAAGCGUGGACGCCAGUCUGCGUGGAGCCAACCUUGAAAUACCACCCUUUAAUGUUUGAUGUUCUAACGUUGGCCCCUUACCGGGGUUGCGGACAGUGUCUGGUGGGUAGUUUGACUGGGGCGGUCUCCUCCCAAAGCGUAACGGAGGAGCACGAAGGUUAGCUAAUCCUGGUCGGACAUCAGGAGGUUAGUGCAAUGGCAUAAGCUAGCUUGACUGCGAGCGUGACG
rnacentral:rRNA from 1 species